GACGAACGCUGGCGGCGUGCUUAACACAUGCAAGUCGAACGGAAAUGCCCUUCUUUUGUGGGGUGCUCGAGUGGCUAACGGGUGAGUAACACGUUAGUAACCUUCCCUUUACUUUUGGAUAACUUCAGGAAACUGGUGCUAAUCCCGGAUAUGAGCUCCUUCUGCAUGGUGGGGGUUGUAAAGUUUAGGCGGUUGGGGAUGGACUCUCGGCUUAUCAGCUUGUUGGUGGGGUAGUUGCUUAACAAGGCUUUGACGGGUAGCCUGCCUGAGAGGGUUACCGGGAAAAUUGGGAAAGAGAUAAGGACAAGACUCCUACGGGAGGAAGAAGUGGGGAAUAUAGAAAAAAGGGCGGAAGCAUGAAGCAGAAAGGCCGCGAGCGGGAUGACGGCCUUCGGGAUGUAAAAAGAUUUCGCCUGUGACGAAGCGUGAGAGAAGGUAAUGGGUAAAGAAGCACCGGCUAACUAAGUG
rnacentral:rRNA from 1 species